UACGUAGGGUGCGAGCGUUAAUCGGAAUUACUGGGCGUAAAGCGUGCGCAGGCGGUUUGUUAAGUCUGAUGUGAAAGCCCCGGGCUCAACCUGGGAACUGCAUUGGAAACUGGCAAGCUCGAGUAUGGCAGAGGGGGGUGGAAUUCCGCGUGUAGCAGUGAAAUGCGUAGAGAUGCGGAGGAACACCGAUGGCGAAGGCAGCACUCUGGGCCGGUACUGUCGCUGAGGAGCGAAAGCGUGGGGAGCGAACAGG
rnacentral:rRNA from 1 species